GACGAACGCUGGCGGCGUGCCUAAUACAUGCAAGUUGAGCGCUGAAGGUUGGUACUUGUACCGACUGGAUGAGCAGCGAACGGGUGAGUAACGCGUGGGGAAUCUGCCUUUGAGCGGGGGACAACAUUUGGAAACGAAUGCUAAUACCGCAUAAAAACUUUAAACACAAGUUUUAAGUUUGAAAGAUGCAAUUGCAUCACUCAAAGAUGAUCCCGCGUUGUAUUAGCUAGUUGGUGAGGUAAAGGCUCACCAAGGCGAUGAUACAUAGCCGACCUGAGAGGGUGAUCGGCCACAUUGGGACUGGGACACGGCCCAAACCCCUACGGGAGGCAGCAGUAGGGAAUCUUCGGCAAUGGACGAAAGUCUGACCGAGCAACGCCGCGUGAGUGAAGAAGGUUUUCGGAUCGUAAAACUCUGUUGGUAGAGAAGAACGUUGGUGAGAGUGGAAAGCUCAUCAAGUGACGGUAACUACCCAGAAAGGGACGGCUAACUACGUG
rnacentral:rRNA from 1 species